CCUACGGGAGGCAGCAGUGGGGAAUAUUGCACAAUGGGGAAACCCUGAUGCAGCGACGCCGCGUGAGUGAAGAAGUAUUUCGGUAUGUAAAGCUCUAUCAGCAGGGAAGAGAAUGACGGUACCUGAGUAAGAAGCCCCGGCUAACUACGUGCCAGCAGCCGCGGUAAUACGUAGGGGGCAAGCGUUAUCCGGAUUUACUGGGUGUAAAGGGAGCGUAGACGGCGAAGAAAGUCUGCAGUGAAAGCCAGCGGCUCAACCGCGGAACUGCUUUGGAAAAUUUUUUGCUGGAGUACCGGAGAGGUAAGUGGAACUGAGAGUGUCGCGGGGAAAUGCAGAGCUAGUAGUAG
rnacentral:rRNA from 1 species